CUCGAUGAUCAAUGCUGAGCUGACUGCAGAGACAUGAGGACCUGAUGUAGAACUAUGUGAAGCAAUGAUGAAUAUUAACGUCCACCUCAGAUCAACUCAACAAAACUGAGUCAAUGUGAACAUGAGAACGUCAACCAUGGAGAGUCUGUGGUCAAACUCAGUCAAAAGUCUUCUCGUCUUCCUUCUGUGUCUCCUGCUUCUGCAUCACCCUUCACUGUCUUACUCCCUGAAAAACUGCACCUUUAAUUUUACUGAGGGAACUUUGGCUGAAGUUCAUCUGAACUGCUCAACUCGUCAACUUGUCUCUGUUCCUGAUGACAUCCCCAGAGAUGCUAACUCACUAACACUCUCUGGCAAUCAGAUCAAACAGAUCCAAAGAGGUGAUUUUGGGAACCUCUCACAGUUAAGUUUGCUGAACCUAGAUAGUAAUCUGAUUGCUCAUGUAGAUGAUGGAUCUUUCAUCGAUUUGGUGGCAUUGAAAGAACUCUACAUGGGGUAUAAUUAUCUCACACAUCUGACAGGAAACAUCUUUCAGGGACUGUCAAACCUCACUUUGUUGGACCUCCAUGACAACAUCAUUAUUUUUAUCCAUAACUCGGCCUUUCUCUUCCUGACCAGUUUACAAACUGUCAUUCUAGAUGACAACAGCUUUCAAACCGUCACUGACAUACAGCCAAUUCUGAAUCUACCACAGCUACAGAAACUGAGCAUUAAAUAUAAUCUGUUCUCCACCUUUGAGUCUAAAGAUCUGAAUCUGAACGUGUCCUCAAGCCUGAGAGAGUUAGAUGUUGAAGGUAAUGACCUCAGACGAUUCAGCAUCACUACGCCUAUCUUCCCUCAUCUUCAGGAAAUCAACCUUUACAGAUGUGGUCAGUCCUCUCCAUUUCAAUGGGACAUCCCUGAUAAGUCUUUACUGAGGAACAUAACUCGACUGGAUUUAAGUAGCUCAGAAGCUUUUGAAAACAUUGUAGAAGUCCUGCAGAGUCUUGACUCACUGCAACAAUUAGAACUUAAUUUCAUGGAGAGAUGGAUCAGCAAGGGUCUUUUAGCAACAGUCUGUAAAAUACCAACACUUCAGAGCCUGGAUCUGUCUGGUAACAAGUAUGACAACUUUAGUGCCAAACUUGGAGCUUGCUCUCAGCUCAAGGAGCUUUACUUGACUAGUACUUGGAUAUCUAACAUACCAAGAGGCUCAAUGGCAAUGAUGAAGCAACUAAGGUCCUUAGAUCUUAGCUUUAAUAGUCUCAGCAAGGUGCCAGAAGACAUCAGAAGCCUCUCCUCCCUCGGGGUCCUCAAUCUUAAUUUCAACGGAAUCUCUGAGUUGAGCUGUGAGGAUUUCAAAAACACAUCCAGUGUCAGGGAGCUCUUUUUGGCCAAAAACCUAAUUGUGAAACUUGAAAGGUGUGUCUUCGAAAAUCUUGACAGUCUUGAGGUUUUAGAUUUGAGCUGGAACCAGAUAUCGACAUUAGGAGGUGCCUUCAAUAUAGGCCCACCAAACCUUAAGAUCUUGAAUCUGAGGAAUAACGUUGUUCUUUUUCUACAAUCAGGUGGUUUUGAGGGUCUAGGGUCACUAAAACAGCUAGAUUUGAGAACUCAUGAAAAUUUGUAUGUAAACGAUGGAGCAUUUGAUGGUUUAAGCAACGUUACAACUGUUUUCAUAUCUCUUCCAAUGUAUUUUGAUACUACAUUCCAGGGUUUACAACAAAUCUCGAAUCUUACAAUCAUGUUCCCUAACACCCAAUCAGACUUCACUUUACACAGUCAUCAUCAAAACUUCAACCAAUCAUUCUUUGAAUAUAAAUCACUGAAGAAGCUUGAAAUGAUUUGCUCAGAUGAACACCAAGGAAUCCACAUUCGUUCAGGCAUACAGAUAAUUCAGUCUGCCAAACAUUUAGAGGAAUUCACAGCUGAGAAUGUGUUUCCUUGGAAACCAAAUAAUGAUACAUUCAAGUUCAACUCCAAGCUGAGAAGUUUGACAAUCACACGGAACGACUUGUCUGAUUUGGGUCCUGAACUGUUCUGGCCAAUCCCAAACCUGGAAGAAGUGGACCUCUCUAGCACUAAACUCAAGUCUUUGGAUUUUUUGGCCCAGGCCAACCUGUCUGCACUCAAAUAUUUGCAUCUCAGUGACAAUGGUAUAACUGUGAUCAAUGACACCAUCUUCCAGUCUCUUCCUGCUCUUCUGUACCUUGACCUGAGCAACAACCCUCUGACAUGUGACUGCUCUAAUGCUGGCUUCAUCCAAUGGGUGAAGAACAACAACCAAACUCUGGUAGAUGGCGCCCAUGACUACAUCUGUUCCUCUCCUCUGAUCAAACAGGGAACCAAGGUGUUGGACUUUGAUGUCCAGUCCUGUUGGAUGGACGUUGGCUUCCUCUGCUAUAUCUCCAGCUCUUGUCUGGUGGUGUUAACUCUCCUCACCUCUUUCAUCUACCACUUCCUGAGGUGGCAGAUGGUCUAUGCCUUCAACCUCUUCCAGGCCUUCCUUUAUGACAGCAAGAAGAGGAGGAGAGGAGCUUCUUACCUGUACGAUGCCUUCAUCUCCUACAAUGUUGAGGAUGAGGCCUGGGUCUACAGAGAGAUGCUUCCAGUGCUGGAGGGAGAGCAGGGCUGGAGACUGUGUCUGCACCACAGAGACUUCCAACCAGGUAAACCUAUCAUGGAGAACAUCACAGAUGCCAUCUACAGCAGCAGGAAGACCAUCUGUGUGAUCAGCCAGAGCUACCUGCAGAGCGAGUGGUGCUCCAGAGAGAUCCAGAUGGCCAGUUUCCGUCUGUUUGAUGAGAAGAAGGACGUGUUGAUCCUGCUGUUUCUGGAGGAGAUUCCCUCUCAUCAGCUGUCUCCAUUUUACCGCAUGAGGAAGCUGGUGAAGAAACGCACCUACCUGAGCUGGCCGCAGGUUGGACAACAAAAGGGAGUCUUCUGGCAGAACGUCCAUAGAGCUCUGGAGACAGAAGAGUCCACCAGAGACAACGUGAAUCUUCUGACUGGACCAGAGGAAUGCUGAAAACAUCCCUGAACCUGCUGAGGUCAGGUCAGGUAUGGGAUGUCGUUUCAGCACUUUGCCAUGUCAACCUUGGCCCUGUACUUCUGCAGCCUCCUGAUGGCCAUCAGCCAAGCCAAGAUCAUUUCCACCCAGGCAACCUUGCAACUACAUGUGAUGUUAUUUGAUUGCGACUGCAUUAAAGAUGCAAUUAAUUAACAUUAAGAAAUAACCUCAAUUGCACAUGGGGAGACCUCAGCAGAGAAAGGAGAACUUUGUAGUUACUUUCACUGCCAGAGGGGGGCAGCAGGUUCCAGCUUUUUGCCAUCACAAUAAAAAAAACAAAAAAAAAAAAACAAAAACAAAAACAAACAUACAAACAAACAAAAUUAAUGUUUUUUCUCAUGUUCAUCACCUGUAAAGCUUUUAGGUAAACUUACAAAGUAACUGUCUCUGUGAUUGUUGUGUUUUCUUGUAUAUCUUUCAUAAAAAGGACCUUUAGAUUUUCACACACCACAAUGGGACCAAAAAGCAAAAAGAGGACAUUUGAAGAUUUCUGUAUAUUAUCAUUUCCCUUUCAUAAAGAUUUUGAACUAGUGAAAAAGUUUGUAUUUACAAAGUAUAUUUUGUGCACAUUUGUAAUGUCUAGAUGUUAAACACCUUUGUGAGCUUGUUUAUACAUUAAAUGGAUCUACA